UGGCUCUCACAGUAUAAGUACUGCCGUCCUCAUGGCUCCUGCAGAUCCGUCAGAGAACUUCCACCUCUGUGAUCCAAAGCUGUCAGACGUGUCGGAGUUUGUGCUUGCCGGCCAUCAUGGGGGUUCUCCGUCUGCUGCUGGUGCUGGUCCUGUUUGCCGUGGGAAUGAACCCCAUCAACGCAGGAGGCGUGUUUGGCGACUCUGGUGAAUCUGGGGAAUCCGGUCAGAUGACCCAGGGGCACAUUAUGCCGAGGCCGCCUCAACACCCCCAUCACCCCCACCACCCCCAUCACCAUCAUCAUCAUCACAAGCCGCAUUCCUGCCCUCACCACCACCACCACCAUAAACAUCCCUUACCUUGCCCACACCACCACCCCCACCAUCCCCAUCACCCCCACCACCCUCACCAGCAUCCCCACCACGAACACCCACCGCACCACUACCCAUUCUGGUGGAUGCACCUGCCUUUUCUGCGCCACAAGUUCUGCCACCACAAUAAAUACUAGCAGAUGUGAGGAGGUCGACCGCGUCUCAUCCUGUCGAAAUAAAAUGAUUUUUGAAAAAUGUA